UACGGGGGGAGCAAGCGUUGUUCGGAUUUACUGGGCGUAAAGGGCGCGUAGGCGGUCAGCACAAGUCAGUUGUGAAAUCUCCGGGCUUAACCCGGAGCGGCCAAGUGAUACUGUCGUGCUAGAGUGCGGAAGGGGCUACUGGAAUUCUCGGUGUAGCGGUGAAAUGCGUAGAUAUCGAGAGGAACACCUGCGGCGAAGGCGGGUAGCUGGGCCGACACUGACGGUGAGGCGCGAAAGCCAGGGGAGCGAACGGG
rnacentral:rRNA from 1 species